rnacentral:rRNA from 1 species
UACGUAGGGUGCGAGCGUUAAUCGGAAUUACUGGGCGUAAAGUGUGCGCAGGCGGCCGAGCAAGUCGAGUGUGAAAGCCCCGAGCUUAACUUGGGAACUGCGCUCGAAACUACUUUGGCUAGAGUGUGGCAGAGGGAGGUGGAAUUCCACGUGUAGCGGUGAAAUGCGUAGAGAUGUGGAGGAACACCGAUGGCGAAGGCAGCCUCCUGGGCCAACACUGACGCUCAUGCACGAAAGCGUGGGGAGCAAACAGG